rnacentral:rRNA from 1 species
CUUGGAAGCAGCCAUUCAUUUAAAGAGUGCGUAACAGCUCACUAGUCGAGGAGUUUUGCAUGGAUAAUAAUCGGGCAUAAGCCCUUUACCGAAGCUGUGGAUGUCGUAAGACAUGGUAGGGGAGCAUUCCGGCGGCGACGAAGGCCGUCCUCGAGGACGACUGGAGCUUUCGGAAAAGCAAAUGUAGGUAUAAGUAACGAUAAAGGGGGCGUGAAACCCCCUCGCCAUAAGACUAAGGAUUCCUGAUCAACGCUAAUCGGAUCAGGGUAAGUCGGGCCCUAAGGCGCAGCCGAACGGCGUAGCCGAUGGAAGAAACGGUAAAGAUUCCGUUACUGGAUAUAGGAGCGAUGUGGAGACGGAGAAGUGACACACCCGCCUGCCGACGGAAGCGCAGGUUAAAGGAAGUAGGUAAACGCCGGGUAGGCAAAUCCGCCUGGCGUGCCGAAGCUGACAGUAUCGAGAGCCCCCGGGCAAUCGAAUAGCGGUGGUAAUCAGGCUCCCAAGAAAAUCCGCUAAGCAUAUUCUAUAUCCACCCGUACCCCAAACGGACACACGUAGUCGGGUAGAAUAUACCAAGGCGCUCGAAAGACUCACGGUUAAGGAACUAGGCAAAUUGACCCUGUAACCUCGGGAAAAAGGGUCCCCAGUAAGAUGGGGCGCAGAGAAUAGGUCCAGGCAACUGUUUAACAAAAACACAGGGCUGUGCAAAAUUGAAAGAUGAAGUAUACAGCCUGACACCUGCCCGGUGCUGGAAGGUUAAGAGGAGAUGUCAUCGCAAGAGAAGCAUUGAAUUGAAGCCCCAGUAAACGGCGGCCGUAACUAUAACGGUCCUAAGGUAGCGAAAUUCCUUGUCGGGUAAGUUCCGACCUGCACGAAUGGUGUAAUGAUCUGGACACUGUCUCAACCGUGACUUCGGUGAAAUUGUAGUAUCGGUGAAGAUGCCGAUUACCCGCAACGGGACGAAAAGACCCCGUGAACCUUUACUGCAACUUAGCAUUGCGUUUGGGCAUUUGAUGUGUAGGAUAGUCCGGAGGCUACGAGUCGGCGACGCCAGUCGUCGAGGAGCCGCUGUUGAAAUACGGACCUUCGAAUGUUUGAGCGCUAACUCGCUGUAGCGAGGACACUGUUUGGUGGGUAGUUUGACUGGGGUGGUCGCCUCCAAAAGCGUAACGGAGGCUUCCCAAGGUACCCUCAGCACGAAUGGUAACCGUGCGCGGAGUGCAAUAGCAUAAGGGUGCUUGACUGUGAGACAUACAAGUCGACCAGGUACGAAAGUAGGGUAUAGUGAUCCGGUGGUUCUGCGUGGACUGGCCAUCGCUCAAAGGAUAAAAGGUACUCCGGGGAUAACAGGCUGAUCGCCGCCAAGAGCUCAUAUCGACGCGGCGGUUUGGCACCUCGAUGUCGGCUCGUCACAUCCUGGGGCUGGAGAAGGUCCCAAGGGUUCGGCUGUUCGCCGAUUAAAGUGGCACGCGAGCUGGGUUCAGAACGUCGUGAGACAGUUUGGUCUCUAUCCUCUGCGCUCGUUGGAAUCCUGAGGAGGCCUGCCCAUAGUACGAGAGGACCUGGGUGGACGGACCUCUGGUAUGCCGGUUGUCGCGCCAGCGGCAUGGCCGGUUGGCUACGUUCGGGAGGGAUAACCGCUGAAAGCAUCUAAGCGGGAAGCCUGCUCCAAGAUUAGGAUUCCUUGACGCUCCUCGGAGCGCCUGUAGCCCGCAUGUUGAACACGUGUUUGA